rnacentral:rRNA from 1 species
CCAAUAGCGUAUAUUAAAGUUGCUGCAGUUAAAAAGCUCGUAGUUGAAUUUCGGGAUCAAUAUGUCGGUCGUGCCUUCGGUACGUACUGGUAUCAUUGGUUUCUCCCUUCUGACAAAUCAUGAUGUCAUUAAUUUGGUGUUAUGGGGAGUUAGGACUGUUACUUUGAAAAAAUUAGAGUGUUUAAAGCAGGCUCACGCUUGAAUACAUUAGCAUGGAAUAAUGAAAUAGGACGUUUGAUUCUAUUUUGUUGGUUUCUAGGAUCGACGUAAUGAUUAAUAGGGAUAGUUGGGGGCAUUAGUAUUCAAUUGUCAGAGGUGAAAUUCUUGGAUUUAUUGAAGACUAACUACUGCGAAAGCAUUUGCCAAGGAUGUUUUCAUUAAUCAAGAACGAAAGUUAGGGGAUCGAAGACGAUCAGAUACCGUCGUAGUCUUAACCAUAAACUAUGCCGACUAGGGAUCGGAUGAUGUUAAUUUUUUAAUGACUCAUUCGGCGCCUUACG